rnacentral:rRNA from 1 species
AUACGGAGGAUGCAAGCGUUAUCCGGAUUUAUUGGGUUUAAAGGGUGCGUAGGCGGCGCGUUAAGCGUGAGGUGAAAGCUCGGGGCUCAACCCCGGAACUGCCUCGCGAACUGGCGUGCUGGAAUGCUCCUGCCGUGGGAGGAAUGUGUGGUGUAGCGGUGAAAUGCAUAGAGAUCACACAGAACACCGAUUGCGAAGGCAUCUCACGAAGGGGUUAUUGACGCUGAGGCACGAAAGCGUGGGGAUCAAACAGGAUUAGAUACCCUGGUAGUCCACGCAGUAAACGAUGAUAACUAACCGCUGGGGUGUAAAUUUCAGUGGCCAAGCGAAAGCGAUAAGUUAUCCACCUGGGGAGUACGACCGCAAGGUUGAAACUCAAAGGAAUUGACGGGG